CAAAAAACUACAAAAAAACAGACAAAAGGCCCACACCUACCGACGCGCAGCUCACCAUCGAAUAGCCCGAUCCCCUCCCAUUCGACGCGCCGCCGGCCCUCGCCCUGCUUCCAUGCGCCACCGCUGCCCCCCUGCUUCCCCCGUGGCGCCGGCCCGCCUCUCCGCUGCUUCGAAUGCGCCGCCGGCCCACCCCUGCUUCCUUUUCGGCGCCGACCUGCCCCCCUGCAGCUUCCACCGUACCGCUGGCCCGCCUCACCGCUGCUUCCACCACGCCACCCUGGUUCCCACCUACCUACGGCAGCUACUUAGGACCCUCGCGCGCGAAGCACUCAUCCCAGCGAACCCCUGGUGUUCAGCGCCGACACGAGCCCAUACCCCUGCGCCUCGUGGGCUCCGACGACCACCACGGCCAAGAUCCGGUGGAUGCCGCCGACGACUAGCGCGCGGAAGAUGCUGAUGUUCUUGGACGCCCUCUGUUCUACUUCGGGGACGGUCACAGCCGCCACCCGGGUCCGUUCAACACCGCCAACUGAAGUCGUAUCUCGCCACGGCGAGGUCCAAAGGGUCGCCCCGCUUGCCGUCGACUGCAUGGCGCCGACCACCUGCAUCACCUCUCCCCUCCCUGCUGACCACCCAUGCUGUGUAGCCGCUCUACUCUGUUCCGAUGCUCCCCCUUCCGGAUGGCGCACGCGAAUUCAAGGAUCCACUGGCUCCGACCUUUACCCGCUGUCGUGCACCUGGGAUCCGCACCCUCUGACCUCACCGUGGGGUGCGCUCCUUCUCGGAUGAAACCGUUUGCAAAAAAAGAUGGUGCUUUCUUGUAACAAGUUGUGGGGUAAAUGCAGUGAAAAAAAUUGUGCUCCCAAAUGUUCAUAUGUACAGUACUUGCUUAGGAAUAUUACUGUGUUUGUGUUGUUCUUGUAGUGCAAAAAUGUGUCAUCCCUAUAAUAGAUAAACAAAAAGUCUAUAAGUUCAAAUUGUAUAACCCUAUAUUCAUAGAAAAACAGAAACAAAAUAAACAAAAAUAAUGAAACACUAAAAAACCAUGGAAUUUGCAGGGAAAACAUAAGGGAUAAGUAUAUUUUUCGUCCUCGAACUCUGACGAUAGUAUAGAAAUCAUCCCUCAACUCCGAAACCACUAAAAUUCUGUCCCUCGACUUUUUAACCGGAUACUUUUCGUCCCUCGUGACACUUAAAGUGGUUUUUGUAUGACACGGAGCCGGUUUUGAUUAAAACCAUCCACGUGGCCUGGUUUGUCCAGUUUGUUAACAACAAAUUUUAUGGCCGGCAGUGAGAAUUCCUGUUUGUGGUUAUGUCAGACUAUUUCUCAUUACUUUGUCAAACUUUGAGAAUUCCUGUUUGUGGUUUGCUUGUAAGACUAAUCAGUACUUUGUGUUUAUGCCAGACUAUGUUUUUCAUGCAAUCUGUUCAGUUCAGUACUCUGUCCAGUCAUCUAUGAACAAGUGAACAAUCUGCCAUGCAUUCAGUUUACACAGUGGUCUAAAAUCAUGUGAACAAUCUACUAUGAAUCCCAUUCAGUUAGGUCAGAUUACAUAGCACAUACAAGUCUGGACAUAAAAUUUGUUGUCACCAAACUGGACAAACUAGGCCACUUGGGCGGUUUUAGUCAAAACCGGGUCCACGUCAUACCAAAACCACUUUAAGCGUCGUGAGGGAUGAAAAAUAUCCGGUUUAAAUAGUUGAGGGACUGAGUUUUAGUGGUUUCGAAGUUGAGGGACGAUUUCUACACUAUCGCCGGAGUUCAAGGACGAAAAAUAUACUUAUCCCAAAACAUAAUAAGUUCUAAGGAAAUAAAUAUGCAAGUUCAUAUUUCAAAACAAUUGAAGUAUUUGGGAAGUUAAAAUUAAGUAUUUCAAAGUACAUAAAUCUUUUUAGGUUUCUCUGUUUAGCUCCUGUCAAGUAAUACAUGUAUGUGAGCAUCCUUCUAUGUAGUAAGUUCAUAGUCGAGAAGACAGGGUGUUCAGAAAAGAACAUGGACACGAAAGAAACAUAAAAAACUAAAACUUGCGUUACGGGAGUUCUUCAAGAAGUUCGUAGCUAGCCAGCAGUGUUGUGUAUUCUUAUCAGUUCAUAGUCGUGAAGACAUGUAUUCUUAGCAGUUUGUGUAUCUAGCCGUCCGUGUUGUGUAUUUCGGUCAGUUCGUGUGUGUAUAUGUUGCCCUUGUGGUGUAUGAGAGGCCGCUCGUGGAGCCGAGGAAGUCAUCGCUCUGGUCUAGGCAUCCUCCGGUUCUCUAUUUUUGGUAGCACAAACAUUGAAAAGUUCGAACACUAGACCCCAGUAAGUUCUCUUGACAAAACCUCAUCUCUCAGAUUUCUUUCCAUUUUUGCAGGUUGCAGCAAAAACAAGAUGCACAGGUUCCUCUUUUGUAUGCUUUUCAGUUCAUCUACUUCCGAUGCAGUGUUUUUGUUUCUGUAGGUCAGCUGCCCAACAAUCUUGUACCGCUCAGUGCAUGUAUUACUAAGUUCAAAAAUCAGAACUCAACAAGUUCAACAUGGUGUACGACACGGAGGAGAUCAUCGAGAGGGCACACCGUGGCAUCUUGGACUACAUCAAGCACGCGCUUACCCUCUUCACCAACUUCGUCGCCGUCCUCAUCCGAGUCCUCGUCAUCAUGGGGUUUUUGACAGCAUUGUUCUGCGGAUCCCCAACCCGUCCCGAUCCGCGACCUUUGAUCUCCAACCACCAUGAUGUGCCCCAGAUCCGCAGCCUUCGACCUCCACCUCCACCUCCUGCCGCGUGCCCGGAUCGGCGGCCUACCUCUCAUGCACCUCCGCUGGCCACUGAGUGCCAUCACUGCCCUUCCUUCACCUUGGCCUUGGCUUCAGUCCGGUUGCACCUGCGACGACCACAUCUUCCUUGUCCCCCUUCUUGCCAAGAUCCGCUGCAGGUUCAAAUCCCUUCAGUUCACUUCGAUCUCUCCCUAGUAAGUUCAGUGUGUGUCAAUGGAAUUGUUUUUACCCAAAAUGUGGCAGUGAUCUCUGUAUUCUGCGAACAGCCCCUGCUGUGGCAUCGUUGUUGUUUGUGCUCAGUACAAAAUUAAACACGCUCUGUACUAGAAGUUCAUGAGAAGGAUUUGUUGAAUCUGCCGUUUGCUUUAUCCAAAAA